rnacentral:lncRNA from 1 species
ACCGGGGCUCCAGAGCUGGACGGAAACCCUUGGAGCCGCCCAGCUGACGGGCCAGACCUCAGGAGAGGGCUACGGGCUCGGUCCAACCCUGGAGCCUUCCUUCUUAGUGUAAAAUAAACCCAAAGGGUGUGUUACAAAAGUAGAUGCUUUUCCUGUCCCCUUAGCAAUACAUCUAGGUCCUGCAGUGCCGCGACCGCAGCUCUCGGGGCUGCCAAUGGUAUCUGCCUUUCUCACUUCAUGUGGGUCAUAGAAUACUUCCCUUUUUCUUCUGCUUUUGCUACUGUUGCCCAGCAGCCUCACAACCAGGCACGUGGGGCAGGAUGACCAAAUGUUGAUCAGAUUUUUCUUUUUAAGCACCAUCUGGAAGUCACUGCGAAACGUGAUGAGCUCAGAGAGGUCCUGCGGAAGGGGCUGGAAACAAUGACACACCACGAGAUCCCCUUUUCCAAGGAAAUAAAUAGAUGCUGCUCUGCAGCUGGGGAAGGCACGGAGAGGAGGAGGUUCAUGCUGGGUCAAGCACAGACAGGCUGGGUGAAAACCUGCAGCAACAGCCCCACAGCAGUUUUAUUUCGCCGUGGCCGCGCUUAGGCACAGAUGUCCUCCUCGGGAAUAGCAAGGGCCCUCUCCUCACCCCCAUGCUGCUCCAUCCUUUGCUGCUAGAUCGCUACAAAUUUGUAAGGUAGGAGUGAAUCGCUGUUAUUACUUCUUUGUCUUUCAUUAUUUUAUACUUUCCUGAAAAACAAAAUAUUACAGAGAUUUAUAGAAUUAAGGGGGAGGAGGGAGAAAGCCAUGAGAGCUCAUCUGGUUUCAAUCAGCUCAGCUCCCUGGAAAUCAGUUUACCCCAGCUGAGAGUCUAAGCGCUGCUGUUUCUACCCCCAGAUGACAAAGUUGUUCCAAGUGUUUAAUGCAAAAACGUGCGACAAUGAAACGGGGGAUCUGGUGAGCACGUUGGACAAGGACUAGAAGUGGAAAUCAGGACACGUCGAGCUCCUUUUACUAGAACUGACUGAAACCAAAAAGCAAAGCAUGGCACUUUGAAGUGCUUGCAUCUUGCUCCCAUCAUUGGGGCAGGGGGAGGACAGAGUAGUUCAUUCUAAUUUCUAAUGAAAUAGUAUAAUCUGAUCCUGUUUUAUUUUCUGUCCCUGUGCCCUGUCUUACAGCUGUGGAGCCACGGACUGCAAGGAAGCUCCUCUUGUUUUACAUCACGUGAGGAGUGAGAAUUUGGCCUUUUAUGAUCAGGGGCACAAUAAAACCUGAUUGCUGGGACGUGGGGGUUUCUGA